rnacentral:rRNA from 1 species
AUUGAACGCUGGCGGCAGGCCUAACACAUGCAAGUCGAGCGAGAGGCGGACGGGUGAGUAAUGUAUGGGGACUGCCCGAUAGAGGGGGAUAACUACUGGAAACGGUGGCUAAUACCGCAUACUAUCGGAUAACCCAUAUGGGAUUAGCUAGUCGGUGGGGUAAAGGAUCACCUAUGCGACGAUCCGUAGCUGGUUGGAGAGGACGAUCAGCCACACUGGGACUGAGACACGGCCCAGACUCCUACGGAGGCAGCAGUGGGGAAUUUUGCACAAUGGGUGCAAGCCUGAUGCAGCCAUGCCGCGUGUAUGAUGAAGUCCUUAGGGUUGUAAAGUACUUUUGGCAGGGAAGCGUUACCCGCAGAAUAAGCACCGGCUAACUCCGUGCCAGCAGCCGCGGUAAUUC